UGCACUCUAGCCUGGGCAACAGAGAGAGAAUCUGCCAGACACACACACACACAAAUUGACAUACUUGACAUUAGCAUUCAGUGACAUAUAUUAACCAGGCCACAAAAGGUAAUAUUGACCUAUUUGUAGAAAACUAAAACAACACACAAACUUUCAUUAUCCUGACUGUUCAACUGUCACCAGACUCAAAUACAUAAAGAAUCUUUAGGCCAGCGAUGAUGUACCCAUGAGACGGGCCUUACCACCUGCGGGGGUCUUUAAAAUGCGCUGCUAUGGGGAGCACAAUGGACUGACAUUUCACCUGCAACUCUUUUGAAUCCCGCUGCAGCACUGGUGCUGAGGCCAUGCCUCUCCCAGGUUACAUUGUUGGGGAGACAGGUAUUAAUUCAGGUCCAAGUUCAUUUCUGUGAGAUGAGGGACUCCUCUAAUGGGCAGCUUUGACCGAAGAGGUCAGCCUCUCCUUCAGCUUGGCCUAACUUUCUUAAAACAGUGCCACAGUCCUGGACUCUUCCUGCCCAAUCCUCCCUUUUUCCUGCUCUCUUUCCACAGGUGCCAGGCCUGCAUUAAAGGCUGGAGGCUCUCCCGCCUAGGCCUGCUUCCUCCCCUUCAUCCUCCUCAGUCACCUCUCCAGGAAACUUCUUGGGUGUCAAGUCCUGUCUUGGGUGCUUGCUUCUCAGAUGAUGAUACUGGUCUAGUUGGCAUUGGGAGUUGACUGAGAAAGCAGAUGGUAAAAUGGGUUUUGAGGACUGGUAUGGCAAGGAAGACCCCAUCCUGAGAAGUAUUUAAUCCAUGGGCAUCUCCUGAUACAAGGUGGCAGCACAACCGGUUGUUACUCAGAUAAAACAUCAAAGGAAACUGACCAUGCAGGUAUUGUUUUUUAUUCACUUGAAAGGUAAUGAGGAGCAAUGCUUACGAGGACUGUGCAGUUAUUGUUGAUGGCCACUAUGUCGUACUGAUGCCCUGCAGAGGGAUAAUGAGAAAAAACAGCUAUACAGGAACGACUAAAGGUGAUGCUCAGCAGCCUAGAAGAAAUUGCAGAUAAGAAACAUUAGACCAGAACGACAGGAGACUAGAUUCCCAAGGCCACCCCUCAUGACAGAAUAGCAGAAAAUCAAUGGAUUGGAAGUCCUAGGGUCAUCUAAGGACACCAGCUCAGAGGUUAAUGACCCCAGGCUCAGAUAUAAGCCACAGGAUUAAUUGGUUCCAAGGCCUCUAUCCUCGUUUACCAUAUCUUCAUGUGUCUUCAAUCAAAAGGGACAGAUGGUGACACCACAUUCUAAAAAGGGCCUAACCAUUGAGGUAUAUAAAUUAUAUUAUUUCUUUUAAAAUCCCUCACUUCCUGAAUCACUUUUCACCCCUGUAUUUGGUCUCUCUUUUAUGGAGACAUAGCAGCCUCCGUGGGUCUAUUCUACUAUUUGUUUCCUAUCUCAUAGCUGGCAGUAGCCCUCCUCAAGGACCUCUUAGUAGGCUCACAUGACUUAGGACUGCCAUAAUGUGCCACCUUACUGCAGUCACCUAGAUUGCUUAGCCCAUCUUCUAAGCUUCAGCCACACCCAUGACAAGUUUAUUGACAAAAAGAAAUCUGUAUUUCUUGUGUCUGCUGCCAAUUGUGUGUGGGUGAGGCCUUUUUGCUAUAAGAAUUUAGAAAUCAGAGGAUUUGGGUUUAUAUUCAAUGCACAGUUGCACCUUUAACAGAAAAUUAUAAGACACAAAUUGUAUUAAUCCGAAGAGUCUUGUGUAUCAUUCCUUUCUUUUUACUCUCACUAGUGUUCAUUUUUUUCCCAAAUAAUCAGAAGAGGAAAAGUCUACUGAGCUUGAAUGCAUUUUUACUCUCUCUUGAAUGCUUGAUUGUUAUGUUUUUGGCUGUACCUCCUGCUUCUGUGCCUACAGGCCUGAACACUAGGCUAUUAAAAAAAUACUAAUCUACCUAAGAUGCUAUAGAAUGGCGCCACUGAUAGGACCCUAUGUUUCAGGAAAAGUCCUUUGUAAUCCAACACAUCCUCAAUGAUCCAGAUUCUUAAGAGGGAAAGAACAACCAGAAAUAGUGGGAAAUCAGAUUUUGAGAAUUUUAUUAAGAAAUAAAAUUGUGUUGAUUUUGAAAGUAUGGAAACAUUUAGAACUGAUACCCAGUAUUUCCCUAUUGCUGGAAAGUUUAUUAAACUAAGCUAUUUUUAUCAUUAGACAAGUUAUUUGAUGCAAAUAUAUUCUACUAAACUUUUGAAAAUAGCUUUCUCUUCAACAUAGUUGAACCCUGCCCCUUCUGAUGUAAUUACCGCUAUUAAUUUGCUUAAGAAUUAAGACAAUCUACAAAACCAGCUGAGUUGCUUUUAUCCAGUAUUCUGGAUAUAUAUCCCCACCACCAUCACUGCGAUGGAUUUGAAAGGCCUCUCCUCUUUCAUAUCACAAGCUUCUGAUUCCCACUCUGGGGCAUGUGUAUCUGACUAGUGGAAUGUGUAUGCUCUACCACAAUAGCAAGGGAGGCUGGGAGAGCUAGUGUCAGAUAUUUUUAACUUCAGUUGUGAGGGGCUGACCCUGCCACGUAAAUUCUAUUUUCCAAACACAGAACUUUCACAUGCUAGUCAAGAGGGUUGACAGUGCCCUAAAUGAUUGUUUUGAGGAUUAGAUUAGUUUUUGUAUGCAAAGUGUCCGGUACAGUGCCUGGAACAACAAAAACGUCAAAUAUCAGCUAUCAUAAAAUUAUAUGCACAUAUAUACAUGUAUAGAAUUAAUAUUAGAAUAUACAUGAAGUAUAAAAUUAACACUGUUGACAUUUAUAUAUGUAUAUAUCUGAGAUUAUAAAUGUGCUCAUUCUGUCAUAAAAGUCAUAGGCAUUUUUCAACAGGCAAGAAUUUGAUGCAGAUGCAGAUGAAAUGGGCAUUUCAGGUGGAACUAAUGGUUGGAGCUAAACAGUAGUUUUUGAUCUUUAAUGUGUACAAGGAUCACCCAGAUAGCUGGUCUAAAAUUCAGUAAGCGAGAGAUUGGCUGUAAGCAACUGCAUUUUGAAUUUGCACCCCACAUCAUUUUUAUGAAUAUUAAAGACUUUGAAAGUCACUGUUAGAAAUCCUAAGACAAAACUAAAUCUUCCCAUAUCUAUACAUUUAAGGGAAACACCUUUGAAAUCCUGUUUUUCUCAUCCUCUGAGAGGCAUUAACGUGCAGUAAGUCCUCACAUUACAUGGUUAAUAGGUUCUUAGAAACUGUGACUUUAAGUGAAACCACAUAUAAUGAAACCAAUUUUACCAUAGGCGUAAGCAAGAGUUAAGUUGCUAUGGCAUAUUUCCAGUCACAAAAACAUCAACACGCUUCUAAAUAAGGACCGAAAUACUUCUAAUAUUAAACAUUGAAUUAAAUUUGAGCUUUACGUACAUUUAAGAAAGAUUAACGGAAACAAAUAAGAUAAUUAUUUCGCUGAUUAUUUUAGUUCAGUGUCACAGGUGGCUGGAGUCCAUCCCUGCAGCUCUGGGCACAAGGAAGGAACCCUGAAAAGGACACCAUUCCAUCCAAGGGCACACUUACACACACACAUGCACACACACACACGCACACACACACACACUCACUCAAAUGAGACAAUUUAGACACGCCAAUUCACAUAAUGUGCACAUUGGGAUAUGGGAGGAAAUUGGCGUACCCAGAGAAAACCUACACAGACACGGGGAGAAUGUGCACACUCCACCCCUAUGGUGGGCUCACCCAGGAAUUAAUUUUUUUUUUCUUAUCAAUGUUAUAAUGAAAUGAUGCUUUAUGAAACAACAUCAUUUGAGGACUUGCUGUAUAUCAAUUGAUAGCUUAGAUAUCAAAGAAUAUUUCUUUGAUCUCAUAUCACAUACUAGAUCAAGAAUAUGUGAUAUUCUUGAUCACAUAUUCUUCACAGCAUGUUACUGCACUGAAUACUAUAGGCAAUUGUAAGAGGACAGAACAAUAGCCCUAAAGUAAGGGCCGGAAUUCUUAUGUGGAAACAUGAAGUUGCUGAGUUGUCAUGCCUCUUUCAUGGUUUUGUCAAGGAUUAUGCUGACAUCUCUAGCACUUUUCUACCUCUAGAGAUGCUCCAAAGAUACACCCGGGCUUACCAGGUGAAAGAGAUGUUUAAACUGUAGGUGGCUGUAGAGGUUGAAUAUAGAGAAAGUGCUCUAGUGUACCCUUCCCAGAAUCAGGAAUAGGUAAAUUCCAGAUCCUGGCACUGUUUUCUUUUGUUAGAGCCAUUUCCAUCCUAAUUUGUUGGAAGUCACUGCUUUAACACUGGCCUCAUUCUGCUCUAUUUCAUCUAAUACCGUUGUCAGUGGUUCCUUGAGAUGCACGAUUUUGAACACAUCUCUUUCCUCAUUAAAGCAUUCUUAUUUCAAGGCCCAGCUAGAAAACACUUUCUCAGGCUGUCCACAACCAAACUCACUACAUCCAAGUACCUCAUUGUUUAGGUUCUCUUCACACUUUCAUAUAAAGCUCAUAUCAGGUCAGGCGCAAUGGCUCACACCUAUAAUCCCAGUCCCUUGGGAGGCCAAGGCAGGAGGAUUGCUUGAGACUAGGA
rnacentral:lncRNA from 1 species